UAGCAGAGCAAUCUUUUCUUGGUAUUUCUUCUCCCGCUUCUUGGUAGCAUGGAGAAGUUCUUCGGUGACUUCAGCCCGAGCAUGUGCGGUCUGGGCCUUAUCUUCAAGCUCGAAGUUAAGCCACGCAAAAGCAGUCAACCCCUCAUGCAAAAUGCUUGCAUCAUGUGCCAAUUGCAAAAAGAGAAAAAAUUUUUGGUCAAGUCAUCUACUUGACUAACGCAACUAUUUAGCAGAG
rnacentral:lncRNA from 1 species